CAAUUGUUAUUAAAAAAAAAAAAGAGCUUGUUGAUAGAGAAUAAAAUAUUGACACUUGAAAUAAUUGUAAUGAAGGCUAUCUGUAUGAUCAAGAAUUUAUUUCAAUAACAGAACAUGAAGCACAUAGUUUAAAAAUUGAAACAGAAAAAUCAUUUAUACUUUAUGGUUUUACUAAUCAAGAUUUAGUUGAACUUGAUUACAGAUGUGGACUACAGACUCAUAUAAUUUUGCCAAGUCAGUGUAUGUAUAUUUAUGAAUUAAUUCAGACUGAUGAAAGAAGUGUCAUUGAUACAAGACCUUAUAGAUCAAUUUUGAGGCAAUUAGAAAAGGAAGAAAGUGAUGCAGUUGAUAAUUUAAUUGACACAAUGUUAUUGGAUGAUGAUGUGUUAAAACCUGGUCAAAUAAAUGAUGUUAAAAUUCAAAAUAUAUAGAACAGCUUAGCUUAUCGUGCUAUCAAUCCAAAUUCACCAUUGCCACCUGUUAAAACCUCUCUACUUGCACCAAUUAAAGCAACAAAUUAUAUUGCCAAUGAAAAAAUUGAUUUAUGUGUAAAAAAACUCAUAGAAUUAU